GUGUAGCGGUGAAAUGCGUAGAUAUCGUAAGGAAGACCAGUGGCGAAGGCGGGUCUCUGGACAGUUCCUGACGCUGAGGCACGAAGGCCAGGGGAGCAAACGGGAUUAGAUACCCCGGUAGUCCUGGCAAUAAACGGUGCACGUUUGGUGUGGGAGGAUUCGACCCCUUCUGCGCCGGAGCUAACGCGUUAAACGUGCCGCCUGGGGAGUACGGUCGCAAGAUUAAAACUCAAAGAAAUUGACGGGGGCCCGCACAAGCGGUGGAGUAUGUGGCUUAAUUCGAUGCAACGCGAAGAACCUUACCUGGCCUUGACAUGCAUCUCUAAGCUGGUGAAAGCCAGUGAGUCCCGAAAGGGACAAUUUGCACAGGUGCUGCAUGGCUGUCGUCAGCUCGUGUCGUGAGAUGUUGGGUUAAGUCCCGCAACGAGCGCAACCCCUGUGAACUGUUGCCACCGGCCCGUGAGGGUCGAGCACUCUGUUCAGACUGCCCUGUGAAACGGGGAGGAAGGUGGGGACGACGUCAAGUCAGUAUGGCCCUUACGGCCAGGGCUGCACACGUACUACAAUGCCCAGUACAGAACGAUCCGAGACCGCGAGGUGGAGGAAAUCACUAAAACUGGGCCCAGUUCGGAUUGAAGUCUGCAACUCGACUUCAUGAAGCCGGAAUCGCUAGUAAUGGCGCAUCAGCUACGGCGCCGUGAAUACGUUCCCGGGCCUUGUACACACCGCCCGUCACAUCAUGGAAGUCGCUUGUAGCCGAAGCCGGCGCGCCAACCCGCAAGGGAAGCAGCCUUCUACGCUAUGAGCGGUAACUGGGAUGAAGUCGUAACAAGGUAGCCGUAGGGGAACCUGCGGCUGGAUCACCUCCUUUCUA
rnacentral:rRNA from 1 species